CACGUAGGGGGCAAGCGUUAAUCGGAAUUACUGGGCGUAAAGCGUGCGCAGGCGGUUCUAUAAGACAGAUGUGAAAUCCCCGGGCUCAACCUGGGAACUGCAUUUGUGACUGUAGAGCUGGAGUACGGCAGAGGGGGAUGGAAUUCCGCGUGUAGCAGUGAAAUGCGUAGAUAUGCGGAGGAACACCGAUGGCGAAGGCAAUCCCCUGGGCCUGUACUGACGCUCAUGCACGAAAGCGUGGGGAGCAAACAGG
rnacentral:rRNA from 1 species